AUUGAACGCUGGCGGCAUGCUUUACACAUGCAAGUCGAACGGUAACAGGCCGCAAGGUGCUGACGAGUGGCGAACGGGUGAGUAAUGCAUCGGAACGUGCCCAGUCGUGUGGGAUAACGCAGCGAAAGCUGCGCUAAUACCGCAUACGAUCUAUGGAUGAAAGCGGGGGACCGUAAGGCCUCGCGCGAUUGGAGCGGCCGAUGUCAGAUUAGGUAGUUGGUGGGGGAAAGGCUCACCAAGCCGACGAUCUGUGGCUGGUCUGAGGGGACGACCAGCCACACUGGGACUGAGACACGGCCCAGACUCCUACGGGAGGCAGCAGGGGGGAAUUUUGGACAAUGGGCGCAAGCCUGAUCCAGCAAUGCCGCGUGCAGGAAGAAGGCCUUCGGGUUGUAAACUGCUUUUGUACGGAACGAAACGGUCCUGGUUAAUACCUGGGGCUAAUGACGGUACCGUAAGAAUAAGCACCGGCUAACUACGUGCCAGCCGCCGCCGUAACAC
rnacentral:rRNA from 1 species